UUUAAAUUAUGUGCAUGAUUAUGACGCUUUGUCUUUUUUUUGUAGUACGCCGUAUAUAAAACCACACGCUUCUCUUGCUAUUUAUAAUGAUGCGGACCAAGCAUGGAUACAAGGGAAUGUGGAAUGAUAGGGGGAUGUUUAACCUGUUUUAAAUUUGUCAGGAUAUUGGAUAUUGUAAUACUUUAGAACAAUGUUUUCGUAUAGUGCUGUUUUAUUGAUGCUGCUCAUUCAGAUCCAUUCGGGAUUUUCGAUGCGGGAUAUUUGUCGUGACUACCCGUACCCGGAAUCAGAGGCCGAUUUUUUUGCUUGUAAGUUAUUUGGAUCGCAGUUGCCGGAACAGCGAGUGGAACUUGAUUGUCCAGGGAAGACAAUCUUAAUUGGUAAAUUGGAAAUUGGAUACAGGGACAGAUUGUGCAAGGACGUUAUAAAUUAUAUGGGAUGUUGCUACGGCGAGAAAAUACCCAAUAAUUCCAGCAUUGUUUGUUUAUCACAGUCAGAUGUAACUGGAACAACCAAUAGGUUAAUAAAACUCCGACGAAACAUCAUUAAAGAGUGUAAAAAUCGUCCAUCUUGUAAAGUCGUUUUAGAUCUAAAACCCAUAACAGAGAUUAGCUUCUCUGAUGUGUACAGUGUCUUCGUUGAAGUACAGUAUGACUGUAUUGGCGGUCCACCAAAACCGAAAGAUAACAGAGUGUAUAUAGCUGGAUGGAUUAUAGCUGGAAUUCUUAGUCUUCUACUUCUUGUAACGUUGAUUAUGUUGGUGAUUGUGUACAAGAAAAGAAAAGCUAGCGCCAAGAAAUGUCUUCCAGCCGUCAGUAUACGACCCCUGCCUUGUGUUCCCGUCAGUGGCACAUACUGUUCACUGGAAGAUCGAGGGCGCAGUUAUGUGGACAAUGAUUAUGAGAAAUUGAAACUGGAAAACAGUGACUAUCAUGAGUAUCUGGAACCGGUCACGGUACCUGACGUCAUCGGUCAACACAACGUGAAGAAAAACGAAAAGUGUUGAUUAUUAAAAGGACAAGCUUACAUAUAAAAAGCCAAGCUUACAUAAUAAAAGUUUUAUGGUUUGACUCUGUAAACGAUUUGGCUCUUUAGUUGCAAAAGACGGUCUUAGUAAAUUCUUGACAUUUGUAUACCACGGCUUAAUCAAUAUAUCUAAGUCAAAGAGAUAAUAAUAUCAAAUAAUUAAAGUAUCAUUGCGUCAUUUUAGAGCAAUAGGAAUCCCGUGCAAACUACACUAGUAAUAACAGUUCAAAAAUGGUUAAAUUCCGUUCAUUAUUUACAAAGAACUGUUGAAUUGAAACGCCAUGUAAUAAGCCCACCACAAUAUUGUUGUCCGCGAACAUAAUUGAUGGGUAUGUUUUAAAUCUGAUUAAAUUUAGCAUUGGUAUUUUGAUUUUGUGUUCUUAAUUAAAUGUUAAAUAAUCAAUCUGAGUACAUAUUAAUGUGGAUUAAGCUGUGAAAAAUGCAAAUGACGCAAUGGGACUUUAAAGAUAUAAGAAAUAGAAGACUACAUAUACUUAUAAUUGUGUUUGAUUGCUGCUGGAAAGAUCUAGUCUGUAUUAUCACAGGCCCAUGACUGUACAGCGCAGAGGACGCUUACUGUUGGUCCCCGGAUCCAUUCACUUCAAUUAAUAUUUGUUGUUUAUUUCAUGCAUGGUAUGUAUAGUUUGUCAUGUCCGCGGGUUUGUCAUAUCGGUUUUUUUUGUGUGUAUUGCCCUCCUCCUCUACUUACUAUAUUAUUAAAUAGAUAUGUGAGUGAUGCGAUUUCACAAACUUAUCAGCAGUGAAUAUUCGCAAGGCCUUUACAAUCAAUUAAUUAGUUCACAGUAUUAACAGUUUUCUUUCUGCAAAUUAAAUUCUAAAACAUGUUGGUUUUUUUUUUAAGUAUUGGAAAAAUAAAAAAAAGGUCGUUGAAGUAUAUUUCAAUAAAAUGUGUUUGCUAUUUAGUGUAAAUGUUUACAUAAAAUAUAACUCGAAGCGCAAAAUGAGUAAAAGGCACCAUUCUGCACGGACCAGUGACGUCACAAGUAGAAUGCAUUUUGAACUUAUAAAGGUCAGUCAUCUUACACAGAGGUUAGAAGAAGGCUUUGGCAUUAACGUUUCAGUCAAGUCACAUGCACAAUAAACAGAACCAAACCGGGGGUCAAACCGCGACACCGGUCUAUACGUUUUCCACAUAAUUAUUUUUUCUUCAUUUAUUCCACAGUAGAGUAUUUUAUACAUCCUAAUUAAAGAUGCAUUAUGUAAGAAUUCUUGCUAAAAUAGUACGUACAUAGAUAAUAAAAAAAUCAUUUAAAUUACUUUAUUUGAAGUUGAGUAAUGUGUAAUUAAAGUUUGAACAAGAUGAAUCGCAGAUUGUUUAUUAUCGUUUAUUACAAGUCUCAAUUAUCCCUUUGUCGUUGAAUUUUUAAAUCUCGCGGGUUUUCUAAUCCAUUUAAAUCUCGGCCAUCGAAUGGUCUAGAGUGUUGAAUAUAUUAUAUAACAUAGGUAGAUUUAGCUCUUAUAAAAUGCAUCUUUAAAGUACUUUCAUUUUCGUUUUGAUGUUAUUCAUAUUAAACAACCUUUUAUGGUAAAGGUCUAAAACAUUA